rnacentral:tRNA from 1 species
CAGAGAAUAGUUUAGUUUAGAAUUCU